GCCGGAGUGGCGGAACAGGCAGACGCAAGGGACUUAAAAUCCCUUGGGCCUUUGGCCCGUGCGGGUUCGAUUCCCGCCUCCGGCACCA
rnacentral:tRNA from 2 species